CCUACGGGAGGCAGCAGUGGGGAAUAUUGCACAAUGGGGGAAACCCUGAUGCAGCGACGCCGCGUGAGUGAAGAAGUAAUUCGUUAUGUAAAGCUCUAUCAGCAGGGAAGAAAAUGACGGUACCUGAGUAAGAAGCCCCGGCUAACUACGUGCCAGCAGCCGCGGUAAUACGUAGGGGGCAAGCGUUAUCCGGAUUUACUGGGUGGAAAGGGAGCGUAGACGGCAGUGCAAGUCUGGAGUGAAAGGCGGGGGCUCAAACCCCGGACUGCUCUGGAAACUGUACGGCUGGAGUGCAGGAGAGGUAAGUGGAAUUCCUAGUGUAGCGGUGAAAUGCGUAGAUAUCAGGAGGAACACCAGUGGCGAAGGCGGCUUACUGGACUGUAACUGACGUUGAGGCUCGAAAGCGUGGGGAGCAAACAGGAUUAGAUACCCCUGUAGUC
rnacentral:rRNA from 1 species